UACGAAGGAUGCAAGCGUUAUCCGGAUUCAUUGGGUUUAAAGGGAGCGUAGGUGGCCUUAUAAGUCAGUGGUGAAAUCUCUCGGCUUAACCGAGAAAUUGCCAUUGAUACUGUAGGGCUUGAGUAUAGUUGCCGUUGGCGGAAUAUGACAUGUAGUGGUGAAAUACAUAGAGAUGUCAUAGAACACCGAUUGCGAAGGCAGCUGACGAAACUAUAACUGACGCUGAGGCACGAAAGUGUGGGGAUCAAACAGG
rnacentral:rRNA from 1 species